GUUGAACUUACCUUCGCCGGCGAUGAACCAAGUGAGCAGCAGGGUGUGUAUGACGGCGAGUGUGGCGGCGGUGCAGGGCCGUCACGUAACCAACGACCGUGGAGCCAAACUUAGCUUGGACAGGGCCGCCGUGCUUAGGGCAGCGGCCGGGACUGGCCUGGAGCGGCAGAUUGGAGAUGGAUGUGGUGGCGACGCACAGCAACGGCGGCAGGAGGCGGACGAUUCGUUCCGGAGGGCGAUGUACUUGAGCUGCUGGGCACCGAGCUAAUUAAUUUGAUUGAGAUACGUUGAGCACGGACUG
rnacentral:misc_RNA from 1 species